GGCGACCGGCGCACUGGUGAGUAACACGUAUGCAACCUGCCCCAAUCCGGGGGAUAAGCUCGAGAAAUUGGGUCUAAUACCCCAUACGCUGACGGACCACAUGGUCUGUCAGUGAAAGAUUUAUCAGAUUGGGAUGGGCAUGCGGCGCAUUCAGCUAGUUGGCGGGGUAACGGCCCACCAAGGCGACGACUGCGUAGGGGUUCUGAGAGGAAGGUCCCCCACAUUGAUACUGAGACACGGACCAAACUCCUACGGGAGCAGCAGUGAGGAAUAUUGGUCAAUGGACGAGAGUCUGAACCAGCCAAGUCGCGUGAGGGAGGAAGGUCCUAUGGAUUGUAAACUCUUUUGCCGGGGAGUAACAAGCGGGACGUGUACCCGCCUGAGAGUACCCGGAGAAAAAGCAUCGGCUAACUCCGUGCCAGCAGCCGCGGUAAUACGGAGGAUGCAAGCGUUAUCCGGAUUUAUUGGGUUUAAAGGGUGCGCAGGCGGCGAGUCAAGUCAGCGGUCAAAGUGCGGAGCUCAACUCCGUAUCGCCGUUGAAACUGGUUUGCUAGAGUGCGUGCGAGGAAGGCGGAAUGCGUGGUGUAGCGGUGAAAUGCAUAGAUAUCACGCAGAACUCCGAUUGCGAAGGCAGCCUUUCCAGCACGCUACUGACGCUCAUGCGCGAAAGCGUGGGGAUCGAACAGGAUUGGAUACCCCUGGUAGUCCACGCGGUAAACGAUGAUUACUAGAUAUUCGGGCCGAUUGGGGCCUGUGUGUCACAGCGAAAGCGUUUAAGUAAUCCACCUGCGGGAGUACGUCCGGCAACGGUGUAAACUCAUAGGAAUUUGACGGGGGCCCGCACAAGCGGAGGAACAUGUGGUUUAAUUCGAUGAUACGCGAGGAACCUUACCCGGGCUCAAACGCCAAGAGACGUAACCUGAAAGGGUUAUUUCCGCAAGGACUGUGGGCGAGGUGCUGCAUGGUUGUCGUCAGCUCGUGCCGUGAGGUGUCGGCUUAAGUGCCAUAACGAGCGCAACCCCCAUUUUCAGUUGCCAUCGGGUCAUGCCGGGCACUCUUGAGAGACUGCCGGCGCAAGCUGUGAGGAAGGCGGGGAUGACGUCAAAUCAGCACGGCCCUUACGUCCGGGGCGACACACGUGUUACAAUGGCGGGGCACAGAAGGAAGCCAGGCGGCGACGCCGAGCCGAUCCCGAAAACCCGUCUCAGUUCGGAUCGGAGUCUGCAACUCGACUCCGUGAAGCUGGAUUCGCUAGUAAUCGCGCAUCAGCCAUGGCGCGGUGAAUACGUUCCCGGGCCUUGUACACACCGCCCGUCAAGCCAUGGAAGCUUGGAGUACCUAAAGUCCGUGACC
rnacentral:rRNA from 1 species